rnacentral:misc_RNA from 1 species
UUAUCACCGGGAUUUGGUCCAUCAUGUUGCAAGCAAACGUGCGCAUGCCUAGUACUCAUUACCCAGUACAACUCAAUUCGCAAAUCACGGUAACAAAUUAUGAAAUUGCCAAGAGCCGAGGAUGCAGGGCUGAUGAGGGGUGAAGUCAAGGCAAAGGAAAGGCAUGUCCGUCAAGCGUGGCUACGUUGAGGCUUUGUCGAGCGAGGCUUGAUUGGACGGAGGGAUAUUCUAAUUGGGUAGAUUUAAAAUUUAGACACUGAUUUUUCAAAUCUGGA